rnacentral:rRNA from 1 species
UACGGAGGAUGCGAGCGUUAUCCGGAUUUAUUGGGUUUAAAGGGUGCGUAGGUUGUUUUAUAAGUUAGCGGUGAAAUACCGAUGCUCAACAUCGGGGCUGCCGCUGAUACUGUAGGACUAGAGAUCGGAUGCAGCAGGCGGAAUGUGUAGUGUAGCGGUGAAAUGCAUAGAUAUUACACAGAACACCGGUUGCGAAGGCAGCAUACCGGUGCACAACUGACGCUCAGGCACGAAAGCGUGGGUAUCGAACAGG